CCAAUAGCGUAUAUUAAAGUUGUUGCAGUUAAAAAGCUCGUAGUUGAAUUUCGGGAUCAAUAUAUCGGUCGUGCCAUUGGUACGUACUGGUAUCAUUGGUUUCUCCUUUCUGACGAACCAUGAUGUCAUUAAUUUGGUGUUAUGGGAAGUUAGGACUGUUACUUUGAAAAAAUUAGAGUGUUUAAAGCAGGCUUUAGCUUGAAUACAUUAGCAUGGAAUAAUGAAAUAGGACGUUCGAACCUAUUUUGUUGGUUUCUAGGAUCAACGUAAUGAUUAAUAGGGAUAGUUGGGGGCAUUAGUAUUAAAUUGUCAGAGGUGAAAUUCUUGGAUUUAUUGAAGACUAACUACUGCGAAAGCAUUUGCCAAGGAUGUUUUCAUUAAUCAAGAACGAAAGUUAGGGGAUCGAAGACGAUCAGAUACCGUCGUAGUCUUAACCAUAAACUAUGCCGACUAGGGAUCGGAUGAUGUUAAUUUUUUAAUGACUCAUUCGGCGCCUUACG
rnacentral:misc_RNA from 1 species